rnacentral:rRNA from 1 species
GACGAACGCUGGCGGCGUGCUUAACACAUGCAAGUCGAGCGGUAAGGCACCUUCGGGUGUACACGAGCGGCGAACGGGUGAGUAACACGUGAGUAAUCUGCCCUUCACUUCGGGAUAACCGCCGGAAACGGUGGCUAAUACCGGAUACGACGCGCUUUCGCAUGAGAUGCGCGUGGAAAGUUUUAUCGGUGGAGGAUGUGCUCGCGGCCUAUCAGCUUGUUGGUGGGGAACGGCCUACCAAGGCUUCGACGGGUAGCCGGCCUGAGAGGGUGACCGGCCACACUGGGACUGAGACACGGCCCAGACUCCUACGGGAGGCAGCAGUGGGGAAUAUUGGACAAUGGGCGAAAGCCUGAUCCAGCAACGCCGCGUGAGGGAUGACGGCC